ACGGCCAUACCACAUUGAAAACAUCGGUUCUCGUCCGAUUACCGAAAUUAAGCAAUGUAGGCCCGGCAGUAUUUGGGAGGGUGACCACCUAGUAACACGGCGUGCUGUAGGCU